rnacentral:rRNA from 1 species
GAUAACCCCCGGAAGACCUCACCAGCUUUUGAAAACCCAGCAUGUAUACCAUCGUCGUCAGUCUACCUCUCAAGAGAAGUAUACUUAAUGAAUAUAAUUCACCACGUCAGAUCGAGGUGCAGCUAAUAAGCUGGGGGUUGGUGAGCUACAAUACUGUCCACAACACAAAACUAACUAUGAACAGCACAAUGAAACUGGUGCUUAAAAAAGGAUUCAGUAGUAAUACCCAAAAGAAAAUGGGUAUAAAAKAUUAUAAGCUCUAAAAUGCGC